AUAGUGGAUCUGCGGGUUAGAGGAAAUAGGCUGCAGGGCGGAGACCGAGCCUUGGCGAACUGCGCUGCCGUAGCCAUUCCGCCCUAGCCUCUGCCGUGCUCCGCGGCGAUUCCGUCCAGACCGGAACCAGCGUGCGUCUGGCUCUCCUCCGCCGCUCUGGGACACCUCAUUCUGUCUGACGCUCAAGACCUGGCUUCGACGUUUAUGGCCCUAUGUCCCUCGACUACGGGUUGCCUGCCUGUCUGCAUCGUUUCAAGUUCCCUUAUUCAGCCUUUUAAGGAUUCAUAGUGGAUUUGGAAAGCCCCCUCUCUUCUCCGCCAGCUGCCCCGAGAGGUGGGGGCAGCAGUGGGGCGGCACACAGUGCUGCUGUAGGAGGAGGAGGAGUUUCAGCCUGAGUCAACAACAUAUGCAAAAAUCACAACGAAUGAGAGGCGUGAGGUUUUCGGUGUAGCAGACAUUUAAUUCUUAUUUGCCAACUCCUGAGCUAGGACCUGGGAACACAAAGUUAAAUAGGACACGAUUCUAGUCCUCUAGGCACCAACGGUCUUGGAAAGGAAGGCAGACAAGUAAACUGGCCAUUUCAAUACUACGUGGUCGUUACAAUGCUAGAGGGGACAAUGAGUAAACUGAGAAGAGCAAAAAUCUA
rnacentral:lncRNA from 1 species